AAUAAUUUUUAUAUUGGAUUUCCACUAUAAUCUUUUUUUUAGUUAAUAUACGAAUUUUUGUAUAAAUUUUAUUUAAGUAGUUUAUAAAUUUAAUUGAUUAAGGAAAUUUAGAAUUAGUAAUAAAAAUAGCAUAAACUAAAUUUGUGCCAGCAGUUGCGGUUAUACUAAUUAUGCAAUUAUAGUUUAUUAGUUUAAAUUAAUUUUUUUAAUUGAGUAAUUAUAUUAAAUUUAUUAAGUGAAAUUUUAAUUUUAAUAAAUUCUUUAAGUAAAGAAAUGAAGUUAAUAAUUUUUUUUUUUAAACUAGGAUUAGAUACCCUAUUAUUUGAAAAGUAAAAAUUUAAGCUAAAUUAUUAAUAGUUAUUUUCUUUAAAGUUAAAAAAUAUGGCGGUAUUUUAGACUUUUCAGAGGAACCUGUUUUUUGAUUGAUAAUCCACGAUUAAAUUGACUUAAAUUAGAAACUUAUAUAUCGUUGUAAUAAAUAUUUUUAGAAAAUUUAAUAUUUAAAAAUUUUUUAAAAAAGUUAUUCAAAUCAAGAUGUAGUUAAUAUUUAAGAUUUAAUGGGUUACAAUAAGUUUUAUUUAUGGAAUAUGAAUUUAAAAUUUGUGUGAAAUUGGAUUUGAAAGUAAUAAAAUUUAUAUUUUUUUUAUGAGUUAGCUCUAAAAUAUGUACAUAUCGCCCGUCACUUUCACCUUAAGGUGAAAAAAGUCGUAACAUAGUAGAUUUACUGGAAAGUGAAUCUUGUAAGAU
rnacentral:ncRNA from 1 species